rnacentral:rRNA from 1 species
AUUGAACGCUGGCGGCAUGCCUUACACAUGCAAGUCGAACGGUAACAGGUCUUCGGAUGCUGACGAGUGGCGAACGGGUGAGUAAUACAUCGGAACGUGCCCGAUCGUGGGGGAUAACGGAGCGAAAGCUUUGCUAAUACCGCAUACGAUCUACGGAUGAAAGCAGGGGACCGCAAGGCCUUGCGCGGACGGAGCGGCCGAUGGCAGAUUAGGUAGUUGGUGGGAUAAAAGCUUACCAAGCCGACGAGCUGUAGCUGGUCUGAGAGGACGACCAGCCACACUGGGACUGAGACACGGCCCAGACUCCUACGGGAGGCAGCAGUGGGGAAUUUUGGACAAUGGGCGCAAGCCUGAUCCAGCCAUGCCGCGUGCAGGAUGAAGGCCUUCGGGUUGUAAACUGCUUUUGUACGGAACGAAAAGACUCUUUCUAAUAAAGAGGGUCCAUGACGGUACCGUAAGAAUAAGCACCGGCUAACUACGUGCCAGCAGCCGCGGUAACAC